rnacentral:rRNA from 1 species
GUCUGCUUGGAGGUAUAAGAAGUCUAGCCUGCUCUCUGAUUAGUUUAAGGGCCGCGGUAAUUUGACCGUGCAAAGGUAGCAUAAUAGUUAGUUUUUUAAUUGGAAUCUUGUAUGAAUGGUUGGACAAAAGAAAUACUGUCUCUAUAAUUUUUAUUGAAUUUAACUUUUGAGUGAAAAGGCUCAAAUUUUUUAAAAAGACGAUAAGACCCUAUAAAUCUUUAUAAGUAAAUUUUGUUUGGCCGAAUUAGAAUUAAAGUUUUAGCAAUUUUUUUUAUUUUGUUGGGGAGAUAAAUAUUAUAAUUUAUAGUAACUGUAAGUUUAAAAAUCAAAUAUAAGUGUUUUAAAGAGUAAGUGAUCCUAUUUAAAGAUUACAAGUUUAAGUUACUUUAGGGAUAACAGCGUUAUUUUUCUUGAGAGUUCAUAUCGAAAGAAAAGAUUGCGACCUCGAUGUUGAAUUAAAAUUUCUAGGUGAUUGCAGAAGUUGCUUUAGAAGGUCUGUUCGACCUUUAAAAUUUUACAUGAUUUGAGUUCAGACCGGCGUGAGCCAGGUCGGUUUCUAUCUUUUAAUAAAUUGAAAAAUUAUUUUAGUACGAAAGGAUUGAAUAAUUAAAUUUUUUUUUCUAUUGGUAA